AAAAGAACCCAGGACCUCAAGCUGGGGGGUUGCAAUUGCUCUACCAGUGAGCCACACCUCAGCCUAUUCCCAUUUUAAAAGAGGUGGAAAUCAAGGCACCGGGUGAGGUGGGGUGGGGAUUAAAUGACCUUCCCCACCUCACACAGUUUGAGAAGAAGCCCAGCUGCGAUUUGUCCCCAGGCAAUCUAAGGCAGUAGUGGCAGUAGCAUUUUACCUCCGGCAAUACCAUCCCUCCCUGACUGGACUGUGCAACUGGUUUUGAGUAUCCUUCAUAUGCAAGAGAAACCUUCCUUAGAGCCGGUGUACAUCAUUCUCCAUUACCCUUUGAUCCAGGGGAAACCUGAUGGGGAGAGCGAAGCUAGGGAUAGUCACACCUGGUGUAAACUCGGCAUCGGUGCAACAGCUGUCUAUGCCUCAGAGGUGUGAACAGCCAUAGGGCUAUUCGCCUACGGAAUGAAGAGUGAAACCCCAGGAAGUGCCGCAAAAGAAAAGUUUGAAGAUGGGAGGGUGCGAUCAGAAAAGUGCGCCGUCCUAAAAUCAAAAAGUCUUGGAGUUGACAUCACGGCCACAGGCCACGCGGGUUGCCAGUACUGCAGAGCGCGCUCCCCUACAACCGCAGGUCCUCUCUUCUUCUGGUGGCAACAGGGCUUUCCGCGGGGCCGCGCCAGACUUUUUGAGACUGUUGAUUGGCCGUAGUCCGGCCACCCGACAGCCAAUCAUGCAGAGGAAAGGUGACAUCACUAGUUCUCCUCCCAUCCCCCUACCCCAAAAACUUCUCUACUCUGGUUUACCAGCACCAACAACCACGUGGGGGAGGGGUAAGAGA